rnacentral:rRNA from 1 species
UUUAAUAUAAGAGUUUGAUCCUGGCUCAGGAUGAACGCUGGCGGCGUGCUUAACACAUGCAAGUCGAACGAAGAUAUUUAGAAUGAGAGCUUCGGCAGGAUUUUUAUCUAUCUUAGUGGCGGACGGGUGAGUAACGUGUGGGCAACCUGCCCUGUACUGGGGAAUAAUCAUUGGAAACGAUGA